rnacentral:rRNA from 1 species
CUGGCGGCGUGCCUAAUACAUGCAAGUCGAGCGAAUGGAUUAAGAGCUUGCUCUUAUGAAGUUAGCGGCGGACGGGUGAGUAACACGUGGGUAACCUGCCCAUAAGACUGGGAUAACUCCGGGAAACCGGGGCUAAUACCGGAUAACAUUUUGAACCGCAUGGUUCGAAAUUGAAAGGCGGCUUCGGCUGUCACUUAUGGAUGGACCCGCGUCGCAUUAGCUAGUUGGUGAGGUAACGGCUCACCAAGGCAACGAUGCGUAGCCGACCUGAGAGGGUGAUCGGCCACACUGGGACUGAGACACGGCCCAGACUCCUACGGGAGGCAGCAGUAGGGAAUCUUCCGCAAUGGACGAAAGUCUGACGGAGCAACGCCGCGUGAGUGAUGAAGGCUUUCGGGUCGUAAAACUCUGUUGUUAGGGAAGAACAAGUGCUAGUUGAAUAAGCUGGCACCUUGACGGUACCUAACCAGAAAGCCACGGCUAACUACGUGCCAGCAGCCGCGGUAAUACGUAGGUGGCAAGCGUUAUCCGGAAUUAUUGGGCGUAAAGCGCGCGCAGGUGGUUUCUUAAGUCUGAUGUGAAAGCCCACGGCUCANCCGUGGAGGGUCAUUGGAAACUGGGAGACUUGAGUGCAGAAGAGGAAAGUGGAAUUCCAUGUGUAGCGGUGAAAUGCGUAGAGAUAUGGGAGGAACACCAGUGGCGAAGGCGACUUUUCUNGGUCUGUAACUGACACUGAANGCGCCAAAAGCGUGGCGGAG